rnacentral:rRNA from 1 species
GGCUCAGGACGAACGCUUGCGGCGUGCCUAAGAAAUGCAAGUCGAGCGGGAGAGUAGCAAUACUCUCUAGCGGCGAACGGUCGCGUAACACGUAAGCAACCUGCCCCGAAGACCGGGACAACAGCUCGAAAGGGCUGCUAAUACCGGAUGUGGCCACCGGGAGACAUCUUCUGGUGAUUAAAACGAGCUAGCAAUAGUAUUCGGCUUCGGGAGGGGCUUGCGGCCUAUCAGCUAGUUGGUGGGGUAACGGCCUACCAAGGCGACGACGGGUAGCUGGUCUGAGAGGACGGCCAGCCGGACUGGGACUGAGAUACGUGCCCAGACUCCUACGGGGGGCAGCAAUUAGGAAUCUUGCGCAAUGGGCGAAAGCCUGACGCAGUGACGCCGCGUGGAGGAGGAAGUCCUUCGGGAUGUAAACUCCUUUUGCCUGGGAAGAAACAAAUGACGGUACCAGGUGAAUAAGCCCCGGCUAACUACGUGCCAGCAGCCGCGGUAAUACGUAGGGGGCGAGCGUUGUCCGAAGUUACUGGGCGUAAAGCGCGCGUAGGCGGGGGAUUAAGUGAGAGGUGAAAGGCUGGGGCUCAACCCCAGCAGUGCCUCUCAUACUGGUCUUCUUGAGGGCGGUAGGGAGAAGUGGAAUGGCUGGUGUAGCGGUGAAAUGCGUAGAUAUCAGUUGGAACACCGGUGGCGAAGGCGGCUUCUUGGGCCGUUCUUGACGCUGAGGCGCGAAAGCUGGGGGAGCGAACGGGAUUAGAUACCCCGGUAGUCCCAGCCGUAAACGAUGGAUAUUAGGUGUUGGGGGUAUCGACCCCCCCAGUGCCGCAGCUAACGCAUUAAGUAUCC